rnacentral:rRNA from 1 species
GACGAACGCUGGCGGCGUGCUUAACACAUGCAAGUCGAACGGAAAGGCCCUGCUUUUGUGGGGUGCUCGAGUGGCGAACGGGUGAGUAACACGUGAGUAACCUGCCCUUGACUUUGGGAUAACUUCAGGAAACUGGGGCUAAUACCGGAUAGGAGCUCCUGCUGCAUGGUGGGGGUUGGAAAGUUUCGGCGGUUGGGGAUGGACUCGCGGCUUAUCAGCUUGUUGGUGGGGUAGUGGCUUACCAAGGCUUUGACGGGUAGCCGGCCUGAGAGGGUGACCGGCCACAUUGGGACUGAGAUACGGCCCAGACUGCUACGGGAGGCAGCAGUGGGGAAUAUUGCACAAUGGGCGGAAGCCUGAUGCAGCAACGCCGCGUGCGGGAUGACGGCCUUCGGGUUGUAAACCGCCUUCGCCUGUGACGAAGCGUGAGUGACGGUAAUGGGUAAAGAAGCACCGGCUAACUACGUG